rnacentral:rRNA from 1 species
CGUCAUUGUUGUCCUUYGUGAGCCUCGUUUCCGAACGGGCCCGAGUUCGGAGUCCUCGGUCCUCGGAUCGUGUUCUCUCAGAAUCAGCGCGCCGUUCGCUCUGGCGGGUUCUCCAAUGCUUGAGCGCGGAGACCUUCCUGCGGGUGUGGCGUCCGACYGCGACCUGAGCGCGCGUCACCAAGUCCCUCUUGGGCACUACAAUUCAUGACCUCAUUGGGGUAGGACAACCCGCUAGACUUAAGCAUAUUAAUCAGCGGAGGAAAAGAAACUAACAAGGAUUCCCUCAGUAACUGCGAGUGAAGCGGGAUCGGCUCAAUGUGUGAAUCUGAUCGGGGGUAACUCCCUUGUUCGAGUUGUGCACUACGGACGUCUCGUCUGCGUUGCGCAAUGGCGGUGGAAGUCCGUUGAAACACGGCACCCGAGAGGGUCAUAGUCCCGUACCACCCGCCAGCGCUCGCGCCAAUGACAGGCGCUCCUCGAGUCGCGUAGUUUUGUAUUGCUGCGCCAAGUGGGAGGUAGAGACCUUCUAAGGCUAAAUAUGAUGACGUGACCGAUAGCACACAAGUACCGCGAGGGAAAGGUGAAAAGCAACCAUGAAAAAUGGGUUGAAACAGUAGUGAAAGUGCUGCCGGGAUAAGGGCUAUUGGGUGCUGGGGCUCUUGACGUGUGCUUUGGUGCUACGUCUCGAGACGGCCUGCGCGGGUUGACGGGGGCGACAGAUGCGCCGCGGGAAUUCGGCUGCCUCCGGGCAGUG